UGCCUCAGACACUGUGCGCGCCCCGGGGCUUCUCUGCUGACUUAGGCUGCAAAUUGCUCUGCUAAUUAUGAAGCAACAUUCCGACUUCAGCCUCAGUUCAGAGUUGACCUUCUGCUCAGACCCCAGGACUAAGGUGGGACCUGAAGGGGCUUCUGCCACCUAGAGUCAGGAACAUGAACUGCAGGGGCCUGGAAAGAGGAGGGCAGGAAAGCUCCCACUGACUCCUGAAGGCUAGAAAAGCUUGUAACCAUGAAGAAGAGUAUAUGGUGUCUCAGAUCUGAAGUUCAGCUACUCCGGAAACUAAGAACCAGGACUAUGACAUUUAGAAAGGCAAGACCGUUGGCUGUCUCACCUCCACAAGCAGCAGCUGAUGUGCCUCCCUUGAUCUACCCUGAUAUUUAGCAGCAGAGGAUGGCUCGUUCUUACCUUCACUUCAAUGGGAAUCACUUCCAGGUCCACCUCAAAGACAACCCGAAAAUCAUUGUCCACCAAUCUAGAGGGCCAGUGUUGCUCGAGUUCUAACAGCUGAGAAGAAAUGAGCAAGCAGGACCAAGGGAAGGUGAUGCCUGUGCAGCUGCAUACGCACACGUGACUUCUUGUUCAUGACAAGGGAGCUUGUCUUUUCCAGGUGUGUGUGCACACAACCCAGCACCUGCUCAGCUACUCCUCAGUGUCCUAAUAACAUUCUUUCCUACGGAGCAAUCCCCCACACCCUCAGCUGAUUAUCUUCUGUGGUUAUUGGGUGGUUCAAAGGUCACCAGAUCCGAAGACGGACCUUGGAAGAUGGUGAGCUGUCACUCAGCUGACCUCAGAUGAGAUUCAGAUGUGUGAAUAAGAAAUGCCAGAAACACCUAAGGACGCCUGAAGAAUCCUCCACAGGCUUUUAGGUGCCAGCCCUCCACUCCACCAUCCAUGCAGCCCCUCUUCCCUUUAGCAGGUGUCUUCUCCCUUUUAGGUCCCCUUCCCCUUAUUUGUUCCUAACUGGAGAUAAUGCUUCCUAGAAGCCUAUGGGGAGUCAACAGCUAAGACGGGAAUGAUGUUCAGAACAGGAAGUGCGGGCAUCAAGGACUCUCAGAUCCUCAGUGUGCAAGCUCAGGUGGUGUUCCCAGUUUGAGAUGGCCAGUAGCAGCCCUGCAGGCUACACUAUGGCCUGAGGCUUCCAUUUCUGUGCAGUUGAGGCUCCAGGCAUUUUUCAGGUUUCCAAAGGGAAGUUCCUUGCCAGGCCCAUGAGCUCUUCCCUUGUGCCCCUGUCUCGGCACUGCCCUGAGACAGUUACUUCCUAUUCUUACCCUUGAUAGGAAGCUGCUUCCACCAGAUCCGUGCUCCCAGAAGUUCACUGUCAUCAUUGUCUAGACUCUGGACACAGAACACCCUCAGGUUUCUGGGCCACACAUCACCCAAAGGCUGAGGAAGAAAGGUCUGAAAGGCCCAGUCACCUCCUGGACAGAUCGGAGACUGACAGCCUCCAUCACUGUGUCUGCAUGAGACAAUCCUCCAGCCAGAAGGAGGGUUUGUCCCACCCUGCCCUGCCUUCUUUCCAUGUGACUGCUGGAAUGUGCUGAGAUACACAAAAACUUGGUCAGGACUUGGGGCCUUGUAAUGGCCCUCACCCUGUCUGGGUGGUCCUGGGUAAAGAGUCAGUCAACUUGGUGGCAGGUGACUAUGUUCCUACUGACACCCAAAAUCCACUGCAAUGUGUUAAAAGGUGAGCAAAAUUAUGUUGCUCCCAAAUCCUUUAAUGAUAUUUGUGGGGCUUUUUAUGUUUUAUGUUUAUUAUUAAUACACAACAAAAGUAUCACGACUCUAUUUUUAACAACCAGGAACCCUGAGAUCUAUGUAAAACGGCCACUGAUGUUCAUACACCUCACAUUAUCCCUGCUUUACAAGACUUAAAACCGAGACCAACUUGGACCAGUGAGCAGUGGAGACAGGACACAGGCUCCAUAACUUUCCUAAAGCAUGCUUUUCAAGACUCCCAUUGCUAUCCACCAUCAUCUGCUGGCCCCUGCCAUGUUGUUCUCUGCAGCUAAGGAAUAUGUCUGGGUCACCUAGAACAGGGUGCGAUCCAUCUGUGAUGAUCCAUCCUUGGAUACAGAAAAGGUUAAAGGAGAAACUGUUUCUCCAUCCUGCCUUAGUGGCCAUUGUGAUCUCUCUCUGGCCUCCUGAAUACACCAGUACUGCCCGAGCUGCUGGGUAGCUACAGACCAUCUUCUUUGGAUUUUAUUAGAAAUGUUCUGUCUUCUGGACCUUUUGGGUUUAAGAAAGUCUCGAGUCUCCCACAUGAAGUCUCUCUCUGCUCAAAAUCCCUAUGGCAAGUCCAAACAGCAUAGCCCUGCAGCUUCAGCCUACAGGUUUCUAAGAACCUCAGACCCUUGGCCACCACACACCCCUCCACACCCUUCUGCAGGUAUCUGUUCACAGUAGCUCGCCCCUCACUACAGGGGCCCAAUAUUUCCACCUUAAGAAUCAGAACCUUUCUCUUGGAAGUCUUUCCUCACUUCACAACCAAGCUACUCUCCUGGAUUCUGCCCCCUACACUUUGUGGAUUAAUCUUUCUAAAUAACAUAGAGUUCUAUGAACAUAAUUAUGUCUGUUUUGUGCAUCAUGGGACCUCACAGGGACCACAGUACAAUUUUGCAUAAACUGGAUUUCCACAUACAGAAGAAUGAAACUAGAUUGCUAUCUC